UGAGGAAUAUUGGUCAAUGGGCGGAAGCCUGAUGCAGCGACGCCGCGUGAGGGAUGACGGCCUUCGGGUUGUAAACCUCUUUCAGUAGGGACGAAGCGUAAGUGACGGUACCUGCAGAAGAAGCACCGGCUAACUACGUGCCAGCAGCCGCGGUAAUACGUAGGGUGCGAGCGUUGUCCGGAAUUACUGGGCGUAAAGAGCUCGUAGGCGGUUUGUCACGUCGUCUGUGAAAUCCUAGGGCUUAACCCUGGACGUGCAGGCGAUACGGGCUGACUUGAGUACUACAGGGGAGACUGGAAUUUCUGGUGUAGCGGUGGAAUGCACAGAUAUCAGGAAGAACACCGAUGGCGAAGGCAGGUCUCUGGGUAGUAACUGACGCUGAGGAGCGAAAGCAUGGGUAGCGAACAGG
rnacentral:rRNA from 1 species